rnacentral:lncRNA from 1 species
CAAGUCAGCCGAGUCGACUCCAAAACGAUCCGAGUCGACUCCGAGGCAGUUCAGCUCCAAAAAACUACAAAAGGUAACUAACUUGUGCUUUAUGGCACAAGAAGAUAAGGUAAAAUCUGAAUCUACUUUUACAUCAAAUGAUUCUCAAGAAGAAUUCCCUUAUGAUGAAUUAUUAAAUGCUUUUCAUAAUUUGUAUGGUGAAUGUAGAAAAUUAGCUAUAAAGAAUAAAAAUCUUAAGAAAC